rnacentral:rRNA from 1 species
UACGUAGGGUGCAAGCGUUAAUCGGAAUUACUGGGCGUAAAGCGUGCGUAGGCGGCUAUGUAAGACAGAUGUGAAAUCCCUGGGCUUAGCCUAGGAACUGCAUUUGUGACUGCACGGCUAGAGUGUGGUAGAGGGAGAUGGAAUUCCGCAUGUAGCAGUGAAAUGCGUAGAUAUGCGGAGGAACACCAGUGGCGAAGGCGAUCUCCUGGGCCUGCACUGACGCUCAUGCACGAAAGCGUGGGGAGCAAACAGG